UUGGAGGGCAAGUCUGGUGCCAGCAGCCGCGGUAAUUCCAGCUCCAAUAGCGUAUAUUAAAGUUGUUGCAGUUAAAAAGCUCGUAGUUGAAUUUCGGGGUUAGUAGGUUGGUCGUGCCACUGGUAUGUACUGGUCUCACUGAUUCCUCCUUCCUGAUGAGCCGUAAUGCCAUUAAUUUGGUGUUGCGAGGAAUCUGGACUGUUACUUUGAAAAAAUUAGAGUGUUUAAAGCAAGCUAACGCUUGAAUACAUUAGCAUGGAAUAAUGAAAUAGGACGUUCGAUCCUAUUUUGUUGGUUUCUAGGAUUGACGUAAUGAUUAAUAGGGAUAGUUGGGGGCAUUAGUAUUCAAUUGUCAGAGGUGAAAUUCUUGGAUUUAUUGAAGACUAACUACUGCGAAAGCAUUUGCCAAGGAUGUUUUCAUUAAUCAAGAACGAAAGUUAGGGGAUCGAAGACGAUCAGAUACCGUCGUAGUCUUAACCAUAAACUAUGCCGACUAGGGAUCGGAUGAUGUUAUUUUUAAUGACUCAUUCGGCGCCUUACGGGAAACCAAAGUGUUUGGGUUC
rnacentral:rRNA from 1 species